rnacentral:rRNA from 1 species
CAGUCGAGGGGCAGCAUCAUCAAAGCUUGCUUUGAUGGAUGGCGACCGGCGCACGGGUGAGUAACACGUAUCCAACCUGCCGACAACACUGGGAUAGCCUUUCGAAAGAAAGAUUAAUACCGGAUGGCAUAGUUAUUCCGCAUGGGAUAAUUAUUAAAGAAUUUCGGUUGUCGAUGGGGAUGCGUUCCAUUAGGCAGUUGGCGGGGUAACGGCCCACCAAACCUACGAUGGAUAGGGGUUCUGAGAGGAAGGUCCCCCACAUUGGAACUGAGACACGGUCCAAACUCCUACGGGAGGCAGCAGUGAGGAAUAUUGGUCAAUGGACGAGAGUCUGAACCAGCCAAGUAGCGUGAAGGAUGACUGCCCUAUGGGUUGUAAACUUCUUUUAUACGGGAAUAAAGUGAGCCACGUGUGGCUUUUUGUAUGUACCGUAUGAAUAAGGAUCGGCUAACUCCGUGCCAGCAGCCGCGGUAAUACGGAGGAUCCGAGCGUUAUCCGGAUUUAUUGGGUUUAAAGGGAGCGUAGGCGGGUUGUUAAGUCAGUUGUGAAAGUUUGCGGCUCAACCGUAAAAUUGCAGUUGAUACUGGCGACCUUGAGUGCAACAGAGGUAGGCGGAAUUCGUGGUGUAGCGGUGAAAUGCUUAGAUAUCACGAAGAACUCCGAUUGCGAAGGCAGCUUACUGGAUUGUAACUGACGCUGAUGCUCGAAAGUGUGGGUAUCAAACAGGAUUAGAUACCCUGGUAGUCCACACAGUAAACGAUGAAUACUCGCUGUUGGCGAUAUACAGUCAGCGGCC